GUCCACGCCGUAAACGGUGGAUGCUGGAUGUGGGGCCCGUUCCACGGGUUCCGUGUCGGAGCUAACGCGUUAAGCAUCCCGCCUGGGGAGUACGGCCGCAAGGCUAAAACUCAAAGAAAUUGACGGGGCCCGCACAAGCGGCGGAGCAUGCGGAUUAAUUCGAUGCAACGCGAAGAACCUUACCUGGGCUUGACAUGUUCCCGACGGCCGUAGAGAUGCGGCUUCCCUUCGGGGCGGGUUCACAGGUGGUGCAUGGUCGUCGU
rnacentral:rRNA from 1 species